UACACGCGUUUGUUUGUUGCGUUUGAAGUGAAAUUUUUUAAAACACAUUUAAGUGACCAAAUAACUAAUUCUGAUCAAAUAUGGAGCCUAGUAAGAAAAUUUUAAAGAUGGCGUUUAAUGUCGAUGACGAUGACCUAACUGCGGAGACGCAAAUGGACGAAGUCGAGGUAGUCACGGUGGCCGAUUUGGGGGAGUAAAAAAUUGAUCGCCUGGAGAGGAAAAUUGAUGAGCAGACGAGGAAAAUUGGUGAGCAGGCGAGGGAAAUCGCCGCAUGUACCAACCAACUGGCAAAGUUGACAGCAUUGCUGGAGGUUUCUCUUAAGGAAAAGGCCACCAGCAAUGCUGUCAAUAUGGAAUUCCCACAGAUGAGGCAUUGGCAGCCUUAGAUUUCGCUUAGGCCGUGGCAUGAAGGAAGAAUGUACCACCGCAGUGACCAAUUUAUUAAAGCGCGGACCAUUAAGAAAAUCAUUGAAAUACGUUAUCGUUGA